GACGAACGCUGGCGGCGUGCUUAACACAUGCAAGUCGAACGAAAAGGCCCUGCUUUUGUGGGGUGCUCGAGUGGCCAACGGGUGAGUAACACGUGAGUAACCUGCCCUUGACUUUGGGAUAACUUCAGGAAACUGGGGCUAAUACCGGAUAGGAGCUCCUGCUGCAUGGUGGGGGUUGGAAAGUUUCGGCGGUUGGGGAUGGACUCGCGGCUUAUCAGCUUGUUGGUGGGGUAGUGGCUUACCAAGGCUUUGACGGGUAGCCGGCCUGAGAGGGUGACCGGCCACAUUGGGACUGAGAUACGGCCCAGACUCCUACGGGAGGCAGCAGUGGGGAAUAUUGCACAAUGGGCGGAAGCCUGAUGCAGCAACGCCGCGUGCGGGAUGACGGCCUUCGGGUUGUAAACCGCUUUCGCCUGUGACGAAGCGUGAGUGACGGUAAUGGGUAAAGAAGCACCGGCUAACUACGUG
rnacentral:rRNA from 1 species